rnacentral:rRNA from 1 species
CCUACGGGAGGCAGCAGUGAGGAAUAUUGCACAAUGGGGGAAACCCUGAUGCAGCGACGCCGCGUGAGUGAAGAAGUAUUUCGGUACGUAAAGCUCUAUCAGCAGGGAAGAAAAUGACGGUACCUGACUAAGAAGCCCCGGCUAACUACGUGCCAGCAGCCGCGGUAAUACGUAGGGGGCAAGCGUUAUCCGGAUUUACUGGGUGUAAAGGGAACGUAGACGGCAGCGCAAGUCUGGAGUGAAAUCCCAUGGCUUAACCAUGGAACUGCUUUGGAAACUGUGCAGCUAGAGUGCAGGAGAGGUAAGCGGAAUUCCUAGUGUAGCGGUGAAAUGCGUAGAUAUUAGGAGGAACACCAGUGGCGAAGGCGGCUUACUGGACUGUAACUGACGUUGAGGCUCGAAAGCGUGGGGAGCAAACAGGAUUAGAUACCCGUGUAGUC